AUUGAACGCUGGCGGCAUGCCUUACACAUGCAAGUCGAACGGCAGCACGGGAGCAAUCCUGGUGGCGAGUGGCGAACGGGUGAGUAAUAUAUCGGAACGUGCCCAGUCGUGGGGGAUAACGCAGCGAAAGCUGUGCUAAUACCGCAUACGAUCUAUGGAUGAAAGCGGGGGAUCGCAAGACCUCGCGCGAUUGGAGCGGCCCAUAUCAGAUUAGGUAGUUGGUGGGGUAAAGGCUAACCAAGCCGACGAUCUGUAGCUGGUCUGAGAGGACGACCAGCCACACUGGAACUGAGACACGGUCCAGACUCCUACGGGAGGCAGCAGUGGGGAAUUUUGGACAAUGGGCGCAAGCCUGAUCCAGCAAUGCCGCGUGCAGGAUGAAGGCUUUCGGGUUGUAAACUGCUUUUGUACGGAGCGAAAAGGCUCUCUCUAAUACAGGGGGUUCAUGACGGUACCGUAAGAAUAAGCACCGGCUAACUACGUGCCAGCAGCCGCAGUAACAC
rnacentral:rRNA from 1 species